rnacentral:rRNA from 1 species
CCUACGGGAGGCUGCAGUGGGGAAUAUUGGGCAAUGGGCGCAAGCCUGACCCAGCAACGCCGCGUGAAGGAAGAAGGCUUUCGGGUUGUAAACUUCUUCUAAGAGGGAAGAGCAGAAGACGGUACCUCUUGAAUAAGCCACGGCUAUAUAUGUGCCAGCAGCCGGGGUAAUAUGUAGGUGGCAAGCGGUGGCCGGAUUUUCUGGGUGGAAAGGGCGUGUAGGCGGGCUGACAAGUAAGAUGUGAAAUCCGGGGGCUCAAACCCCGAACUGCAUUUGAAACUGUUGGUCUUGAGUGUCGGAGAGGCAAGCGGAAGUCCUAGUGUAGCGGUGAAAUGCGUAGAUAUUAGGAGGAACACCAGUGGCGAAGGCGGCCUGCUGGACGACAACUGACGGUGAGGCGCGAAAGCGUGGGGAGCAAACAGGAUUAGAUACCCGGGUAGUC